CAGGCGCUCUAACCAAUCAGUGUGCUCAGCUCCUCAUCAGAGUCCAGUUCCAGUUGGAGAAACCUUCUGUGAACUGCGGAAAACUCAUCAACGCCGCCGCCAUUGCCGCCACCAACGCCUCUGCUGCUCAGCCUCAGGAUUACAGGGAAGAACUGGAGCCCAUCCUCACUGACACCCAGGGGAGUUCACUAGUCCAUCACAGGAAGCUGUGCUUAUUUCAAGUAUUAAGGCUCUGGAUCUGUUUGGCCAUGGAGCUGAACACCAGGUGUAGGUCUGCACCUUCCACCUCCAUCAGCUCCUCCCACUGCAGAGGCAGCACCACUCGAGGAUCUUGAGUCACCUGCAGCAGGGACAGCGACUCAACUGUCACACAACACAGCAGAU